rnacentral:rRNA from 1 species
UGGGUAACCUGCCUGUAAGACUGGGAUAACUCCGGGAAACCGGGGCUAAUACCGGAUGCUUGUUUGAACCGCAUGGUUCAAACAUAAAAGGUGGCUUCGGCUACCACUUACAGAUGGACCCGCGGCGCAUUAGCUAGUUGGUGAGGUAACGGCUCACCAAGGCAACGAUGCGUAGCCGACCUGAGAGGGUGAUCGGCCACACUGGGACUGAAACACGGCCCAGACUCCUACGGGAGGCAGCAGUAGGGAAUCUUCCGCAAUGGACAAAAGUCUGACGGAGCAACGCCGCGUGAGUGAUGAAGGUUUUCGGAUCGUAAAGCUCUGUUGUUAGGGAAGAACAAGU